UUAGCAAUUGCUAAAUCAGCGAAGAGACUUGAUUGCUAAUUACCGGAAGUCUGUGGAAGAGCUUGUUAAAUCUGAGCCAUAAGUUCCAGUCAAUCAAAUGUGGCUCUCUAUCAUCAAUAUCUGGAUAUUACGGUUCUGAAGGGAAAAAUCAGAAGUUUUGACAAAUAGGUUGCAGGAAAUGU